rnacentral:rRNA from 1 species
CGCGUAGGCGGAUGUUACAGUCAGGCGUGAAUUUCCUGGGCUCAACCUGGGGGCUGCGUUUGAUACGUGAUGUCUGGAGUUCGGAAGAGGGUCGUGGAAUUCCCAGUGUAGAGGUGAAAUUCGUAGAUAUUGGGAAGAACACCGGUGGCGAAGGCGGCGACCUGGUCCGAUACUGACGCUGAGGCGCGAAAGCGUGGGGAGCAAACAGGAUUAGAUACCCUGGUAGUCCACGCUGUAAACGAUGUGCGCUGGAUGUUGGGUGACAUAGUCAUUCAGUGUCGUAGCUAACGCGAUAAGCGCACCGCCUGGGGAGUACGGCCGCAAGGUUGAA